GAGGGGGUGAUUAGUGACAGAGUGAGGGAGGGGGUGACUAGUGACAGUGAGGGAGUGGGUGACAGUGACAGAGUUAGGGAGGGAGUGACUAGUGACAGUCACUCCCUCCCUCUGUCACUAGUCACUCCCUCCCUCUGUCACUAGUCACUCCCUCACUCUGUCACCAGUCAUCCCCUCACUCUGUCACCAGUCACCCCUUCCCUCCCUCACUCUGCCACUAGUCAUCUUUUCCCUC